GGCUCAGGAUGAACGCUAGCGGCAGGCUUAACACAUGCAAGUCGAGGGGCAUCGGGAGUAGCAAUACUGCCGGCGACCGGCGCAAGGGUGCGUAACGCGUGAGCAACAUGCCCGUAUCAGGGGGAUAAUCCAUGGAAACGUGGUCUAAUACCCCAUAGUAAUUAUGUAAGGCAUCUUAUAUAAUUUAAAGCUUUGGUGGAUACGGAUUGGCUCGCGUGACAUUAGCUGGAUGGUAAGGUAACGGCUUACCAUGGCUACGAUGUCUAGGGGUUCUGAGAGGAAGGUCCCCCCACACUGGAACUGAGACACGGUCCAGACUCCUACGGGAGGCAGCAGUGAGGAAUAUUGGACAAUGGAUGGAAAUCUGAUCCAGCCAUGCCGCGUGCAGGAAGAACCGGCCCUAUGGGUUGUAAACUGCUUUUGUAUGGGAGCAAUAAGGGCUACGUGUAGUCCGAUGAGAGUACCAUACGAAUAAGCACCGGCUAACUCCGUGCCAGCAGCAGC
rnacentral:rRNA from 1 species